GAACAUCACACAUAUCACAUAAAAAACUAUAUUAUGAACAAGGACUUGCUAAGAAGAGUCUUGGUCUUGAUGAAUUCAAAGCACACUUUUCUGGCCUUGUGUGCCCUUCGCUUUAUGAGGCGGAUAAUUGGACUUAAAGAUGAAUUUUAUAAUCGUUACAUCACCAAGGGAAAUCUUUUUGAGCCAGUUAUAAAUGCACUUCUGGAUAAUGGAACUCGGUAUAAUCUGUUGAAUUCAGCUGUUAUUGAGUUGUUUGAAUUUAUAAGAGUGGUAAGUUUAUAUAAAACAGCUGUUAUUAUAUGUAAUUAUAUGUAAAUAAUUUUUUAUGUAAAAGAAUUACAUGUAAGCAAAGUGACUUCAUUCCCUUUUCACCCCUGAAAUUAUAUAUUCCAUGUGUCUUAGAAUCUAUUCUAAUAAACAGAAAUUUUAAAAAUC
rnacentral:lncRNA from 1 species